CUAGAGAAGAUUUGGGGAGGAUCUGGGGAAGGUUUGGGGAAGUUCUGGGAGGUUCUGGAGAAGGAUUGGGGAUGUUCUGGAGAAGGUUCUGGACAAGGUUUGGGGAGGUUCUGUAGAAGGUCCUGGGAGGUUCUGGAGAGGCCCCUUUUUGACAGCAGCAGCAGCAGCAGCACGCUUUGGGGCUCCCACCCUGGCUGGAGGUUUGGAUCCAGCCGAGGAUCCCCCUCCAGCGCCGGGGGCCGGGCGCUGACCGGGCCCCGCCGGCGUUUCAGGACAUGCUGAAGAACACGCCCCGCGGCCACGCCGACCGGCUGGCGCUGCAGCUGGCGCUCACCGAGCUGGAGACGCUGGCCGAGAAGCUCAACGAGCAGAAGCGCCUGGCCGAGCAGCUGGCGGAGAUGCAGCAGCUCAGCAAGAGCAUCGGCGAGCGCAGCGGCCUCAGCAAGGUGGGGACGCCAGCGCCCUCAUCUGCAUCCUCCUCCUCAUCUGCAUCCUCCUCCUCAUCUGCAUCCUCCUCAUCUGCAUCCUCCUCCUCAUCUGCAUCCUCCUCCUCAUCUGCAUCCUGCUCAUCUGCAUCCUGCUCAUCUGCAUCCUCCUCAUCUUCAUCCUCCUCAUCUGUAUCCUCCUCCUCAUCUUCACCAUUCUCAUCUUCUUCCUCAGCCUUCUCCUCCUCCUCCUCAGCCUCCUCCCCAUCUUCCUUACCCUCGUUCUCAUCCUCCUCCUCAUCCUCCCCAUCCUUGUCCUCCUCUUCAUCCAGUGGUCACUCCAGGCUCAGUCUGGGCAGGGCAGUGGUCACUCUGGCUCUGUCCAUACAGUGGUCACUCUGGCUCUGUCCGUACAGUGGUCACUCUGGGCUGUGGCUGGGCAGUCAGCCUGCUCUCCGCUCUCUGCAGGCGCUGGGCUCAGGGCAGUGGUCACUCUUGCUCUGUCCAGUGCCGGUCAGUGGUCACUCUGGGCUCUGUUUGGGCAGCGGUCACUCUGGCUCUGUCCAGUGCUGGUCAGUCAGUGGUCACUCCUGUCCGGCAGGCUCUGGGCUCAGGGCAGUGGUCACUCCUCAGUGUCACUCCUGUCCAGCAGGCUCUGGGCUCAGGGCAGUGGUCACUCCGGCUCUGCGCAGCGCCGGUCAGUCAGUGGUCAUUUUGGCUCUGCGCAGCGCCGGUCAGUGGUCACUUUGGC
rnacentral:lncRNA from 12 species